rnacentral:tRNA from 1 species
ACCCUCUUGGCUCAGAUGGUAAAGAAUCUGCUUGCAAUGCAGGAGACCCAGGUUUGAUCCCUGGUCUGGGUC